rnacentral:rRNA from 1 species
UUUUUUUAUUGGGGACUGGAAUGAAAGAUAAAAACUGAAGGGAGUGUUUUAUUUAAUGAUUUUGAAUUUUAAUUAAAGGUAAAAAUGCUUUUAUGAAUUUUUGGGACGAGAAGACCCUAGAAGCUUUAAUGUGUAUAAUAAUUGAUUAGAGAUUUAUUAACAUAUAUUAAUUGGGGCAAUUUUUGAAGAGAUUAAUUUUUAUAUAAAUAUAAAGGAAUAAAUGUAUAAAGUUACUCUAGGGAUAACAGAGUAAUUUAAUUUAAGAGUUCUUAUUAAUAAUUAAGUUUGCUACCUCGAUGUUGAAUUAAAUUUAAAUUUUUGGUGAAGGGGCUUGAGGAUUUAGUCUGUUCGACUAUUAAAAUUUUACGUGAUCUGAGU